rnacentral:rRNA from 1 species
UACGUAGGGUGCGAGCGUUAAUCGGAAUUACUGGGCUUAAAGCGUGCGCAGGCGGUCUGUUAAGACCGAUGUGAAAUCCCCGGGCUUAACCUGGGAACUGCAUUGGUGACUGGCAGGCUUUGAGUGUGGCAGAGGGAGGUAGAAUUCCACGUGUAGCAGUGAAAUGCGUAGAGAUGUGGAGGAAUACCGAUGGCGAAGGCAGCCUCCUGGGCCAACACUGACGCUCAUGCACGAAAGCGUGGGGAGCAAACAGG